GUGAAAUUUCGCAUUGUGACUCUGGAUGAGGAAUUCCAUGCACUCAACGAUUCGAUUUCCCUGUUUCUCCUGGACCCUAAGAACAACCAGAUAGAGCAGUGGCAGAAGGUGGUCCCUCAGGAUGGCAUUGCAGACCUGUCUUUCCAGCUGAGUGAGGAGCCCCAGCUGGGAACGUACCUCAUCAAUGUCACCAGCACCAGCGCCUACGGCAGCUUCUCCGUCAAGG